AAAGGAUGCAUGUGAUAAAGGGAUAGAGAGAAAAAGAGAGAAAUUGAUGUAGAGAAAUUGAUAAACUGUAGUCAAAGAGAAAGAUGGAAAAGGAGGAAAAGACUGAGAAAUUCGGAGAGAGGAGGGAGAGAAGGAGGGAAAGAGAGAGAGAGAGAGAGGGAGAGAGAGAGAGAGAGAGAGAGAGAGAGAGAUGUACAUAGGAAACAGUGAGAUGGAGAAAGAGAAAGAAACAGCUCUGGAGAAGAGUGAGAGAAGGAGAGAGAGGCGGAGAGAUCCAGGAAAUCUUAGCAGUCCAACAAGUGGGGGACCACCCAUCUGAGGAAAAACAAGGAGAGGAUACAACUUCCUCACACAGACUGAAGGAUACAAGUUUUUCUUUCACUGAUCAUCACCCCACCCUUCUUUGACAAGCACCACCACAGCACAUACAUAAUUAUAUAUAUAUAUACAUACAUACAUACAUACACACACACACAUAUAUAUAUAUAUAUAUAUAUAUAUAUAUAUAAAAAUGUAUAUAUAUAUAUAUACACACACAUAUAUAUAGAUACACAUAUAUAUAUGUACAUAUAUAUAUGUAUAUAUAUAAACUGUGUAUAUAUGUAUUUUUAUAUAUGUCUGUGUGUAUGUAUAUAUACACACACACACAUACACACACAAACACGCGCACACACACACGUUUAUGUAUGUAUACAUGCUGUAUGAAAAUAACAAGAACAACAACAAAGUUAUGUUUUUACAUCCUGUGCUGGAUAAAAGUCACCCAUGUUCCUGGUGUAUACAAUGACUUACAAACAGGCUUCUGAAAACUUAUGUUCUCCAUGAAGAAUAACUCAUUAGAAAAAAGGAUUUUAUACCAGAGACUGUUACCUUUAAGAACAGAAUAAAACAAGCAGAUAGUUUGGGAGGACCCUUGAUCAUUGCUUUAUAAUAGCUUUUGGUGUUUACCCUUGAUGUCCCACACCCUUUUCAGGAAGCAUCACAUGUUCCUCUGUUGAGAAUCUAGGACCUUGUAAAUAACCAAAAAAGAUACUAUUGUUAAUGGAAAUGGUACAAUAUUUAUUGGACUAAAGAGGCAUACAACUGGUUUCAAUCGUCUUAGCAGCUGUUGUGGUCCACACAGGAAGAGAACUCCACAGAGCUACUGCGAUGAGCCAGCAACUCAUACUUCAACUGACCAACAACAGAAUCACAUCAUUUGCGCAGACCCGUUUGCUCAUGCUAGAUUUGACGAUAUUUACUGAGUUUGUGUAAAAGAUUUUAGGAGGGAGGUUCCUGAUAGAAGUACUGCCCAAGGAUUACAUCUUGAAGAUCCUCUAUGGCCCUCUACAUUGCAGUCAACACUAAGCUGGAGGUUUAAGGAAGUAACUCAACUGACCAACUGAAGACCAUUUUAAAGGGGGAACAAUGUGGGUCUGUCAAGAGUGGAAGAUGUCCACUGCAUACAUCAGCAGUUUUCUGCUGAAGGGAAGUUGAAGAUAUGGAGGAGAAACGCUUGAGUACUAACAGAAGAAACAAGAAAGUUCUUGCUGGUCUCUGGCCAAAGAUUUACUUGUCCCAUCUGCAAUCAAAGUGUCUUAUGUAGGAUUGGGAUGUACAAUCUUGAAAGGAUCCACAAAGGAAGGAGAAGAUGGUUUUCACUGGAAAUUGAUGUACAACCACAAGCAAGCAAUCUGGAUCUAAACUACCAUAUUUUACACGUUUCCUAAGAGGAUUGGAAAAGUUCUUGACCCCUGUAGGAAAAAAAUUAAAGGAAUUGAAUGUUUGAUGAUAUCAAUAACUCUGCUUUGCAAAAGUGUCAAAUACAACUUUUGCAAGUCAGCAUUCCAGCUUGUUAAAAACCAUUUUAACAACAAACACAUAAAUCCAAGAGAGCACCACUGGACUUUAAUAUUCAUAAGCUGAUGACCAGUCAACACAUCUGACUCAACAAGAGACCGUCACUCAUUUGCAAAGGCUUAAAGUCUAUCCAACAACUUCACACAACUCAUUAAAUGGAAUGAAUGCCAACUGAUGUGUUUGGAAAACCAGUGAAGAGGAAAUGACAGAGUAAAAGAGCAGAAGAAGAGGAAGUAGAGGAGCAACAGGACAAGGGCAGGACAGGGAUUUGAACUCAUGACCACGAGGAACACAGUUAAAUAGUAUAAUGCCUGACUGUCUCAUGCCACCUCUAAGCGAGUGAGGAGAUAUUAUUGUUAUUUGAUGAAUAAUUGCCAGCACAGAGAGAAGUUAGCUCCUGGCAAACUGAGUCUACAGAAGACCAUUCCAUUCCUAGUCAGAGCUUCAUUGCUUCUCUUGAAAUGAUAACACUCUUAAGGUAUAAAUGUCUCAGUUAUUUCAGUUGCCAUUUCCUUAGAAAUCUUAGCUUUUGCACCUAAUCGGGUGAAUUCUGAUUUCUUUUGAAAUGGUAUCAAACCUGCCAACAUCGGCACCAUCUGUUGAUUAUCUCCCUCUUUUCGUUUUUUGCUAUGUUGAAGGAACAUAUUUCAUUGAAUCAACAACCAAACUUUGUUAAUUUCUAAAGCUAUGAGUAUUAAUUACUGGUACUUCUUAAUUGAGUGGCUUCUAUAGUGUAGAAGCAAAUUAAGGCCUUGCAUAAAGUAACAUUUGGAAUCCAAGGAAACUGGCAGUGGUGUGCAUCAUCAAAUUCCAAUCCAUAAAUGUUUAUAAAAGAAAGCAAAAAUUGUAGUGAACCAAUUUACUGAUUCUGUACACAUGUAGAUGAAUCUUAUAGUUUACCACAUGUCUAAAUGUCAGCAUUUAGAUGAGUUUACAUAUUGAUUAAGGUUAAAAACAUUUGUUGAUAGUACAGUACAUACACCACUUAGAGUAAAACCAAACCCUUUCAGAUCAAUAUAGAUUGUAUAGAUUAAUAUAGAUUAAUACAUAGCAUAUGUAGAAGAGAUUAAGGCAAGGAAAUCAUUUUGAACUGAAUAGAAUAGUAUCGUUGUGGCACUCCGUCGGUUAUGACGAUGAGGGUUCCAGUUGAUCCGAUCAAUGGAACAGCCUGCUUGUGAAAUUAACGUGCAAGUGGCUGAGCACUCCACAGACACGUGUACCCUUAAUGUAGUUUUCAGGAUGACACAAAGUGUGACAAAGCUGGCCCUUUGAAAUAGAGGAAGAAAGAGUGUGAGAAAAUUGUGGUGAAAGAGUACAGCAGGGUUUGCCUCCACCACCCCUUGCUGGAGCCUCGUGGAGCUUUUAUGUGUUUGUGCCCAAUAAACACUCACAACGCCCAGUCUGGAAAUUGAAACUAUGAUCCUAUGACCACGAGUCUGCUGCCCUAACCACUGGGUCACAUAGAUUAAGUGAGAGACAAUUGUGCUGGUAUGUAAAUAGUAAGGUGUAUAAUACUAGAUUGAAUGGCAAUAUUAUUUACUUACAUGUGAGUAACUAUAGUAAUGAACUAGAAAUAUAGUUUUACUAGCAAAUGCUCUUUAAACAACCUGCUCUUUCUGUGAAUAAUAAGAUCAGAGAAAUGUUAAGACAAAAAAAGAUAGACUGGCUGUUUAGACAAGCAGUAUAAUGAUCACCCUAGCACGGGGAUCGCAUUGGUAUGGAUGAAAUAUUGCACGAUUGAUAGGGACUGCCAGUCUUUCCAUUCUCUAAUUGAAGAAUUAAUCUUGUAGUGAUGCCUAGCAUUUAUUAAGGAAUCUAUAUAUAUAAAAAUGAGAAUGUGUGUCUGUCUGUCUGUCUGUCUGUCUGUCUGUCUGUCUGUCUGUCUGUGUGAAUCCCUAAAACUCGAGAACUACGCAACCAAUUUCAUUCAAAUUUUACAGAUGCCUUACUUAGGGUUCCAGUUGUGUUUUAGUCAAAAAAAUUUUAACUUCUUGCAGAGUUCGAGCCCACAGCAACAUAAUAUCUCCUCCACUAUUUAAGUAUUACGUGUCAAAAGUGAAACAAAAACACUCAUGUCAAAUACUUUCACUUUAAAAAUGAAACUAUUCUACUAACUGAAACAAUCACAUUUCGAUACUGUAAUGACAGAUACUUUC